ACAGUGCCUCUGACUUUUUCAUAGGACAGUUGGCCGGUGAAUCUUAUUAAUAGUUUACCACAAUUAAGUGUUCAUUUUUAGUCUAGAAGGGACAGGCGUUUAUUGUGCAUUGGCCAGUGCCAGCACAUCCGAUGCAAGGCAGUUCACCGUAUUCUAUCUUUAAUUUUUACCAUGGUCCUCUGAGGUAGGUGUUCUUAUCUCUCUCUCUCUCUCUCUCUUUUAAACAGAGGAAGACAAACAUAAAGAUGAAGUGCUUAAUUCAAGGUCACACAAUGUCGGGGAUGGACCUCCAGAUUUCCUUACUGGAAAACAAGCUCAGGGCUCCCACUGAUUGUACAUUAUGAGACGGAGUCUUGCUAUGUUGCCCAGGCUGGUCUUGAACUCCUCACCUCAAGCGAUCCUCCCGUCUUGGCCUCCCAAGUGUCAGGAUUACGGGCAUGUGCUAUCACACCCAACCUGAUACAUUGCCUUUAUAAAUUUUUUUUUCUUUAUUCUAAAAACCAGAAAAAACAAAACUGGAUACAUGUGCAGAACAUGCAGGUUUGUUACAUAGCUGUACGUGUGCCAUGGUGGUUUGCUGCACCUAUUGACCUAUCCUGUAAGUUCCCUCCCCUCACCCCCACCCCCCAACAGCCCU
rnacentral:lncRNA from 1 species